ACGUACACUCCUACGGGAGCAGCAGUGGGGAAUAUUGGACAAUGGGCGCAAGCCUGAUCCAGCCAUGCCGCGUGAGUGAUGAAGGCCCUAGGGUUGUAAAGCUCUUUCACCGGUGAAGAUAAUGACGGUAACCGGAGAAGAAGCCCCGGCUAACUUCGUGCCAGCAGCCGCGGUAUACGAAGGGGGCUAGCGUUGUUCGGAUUUACUGGGCGUAAAGCGCACGUAGGCGGACUAUUAAGUCAGGGGUGAAAUCCCGGGGCUCAACCCCGGAACUGCCUUUGAUACUGGUAGUCUUGAGUUCGAGAGAGGUGAGUGGAAUUCCGAGUGUAGAGGUGAAAUUCGUAGAUAUUCGGAGGAACACCAGUGGCGAAGGCGGCUCACUGGCUCGAUACUGACGCUGAGGUGCGAAAGCGUGGGGAGCAAACAGGAGUAGAAACCCCUGUAGUCCCAUGAU
rnacentral:rRNA from 1 species